AUGACCAGAGCUUGGAGAAGCAAUUACCAUAGAAUAUCACAGGUAUCUAGGUCGAUGUUCAUGGCGCAUUUCAGAACUUUAGAUGCUAUGAUGUUUGUUUUUACAAGGCAGCCUUGGAUUAUGGGUUCUGAUAAUCUACUGCUUCAGUGGCUUGAUCCUGAGGAUGAAGCAAAAGAGAAGGGAAAAUAUUGUUUCAACACUAUAUAUGUGACUGUCAGAAUUUAUGGAGUCCCAACAAGAGUGGGAGAGCCCUCUGAAUUCCAUCAUUUGCACCAAGGAAUGUUAUUUACCAGAGCUAAGUAUAUGUGGGGGACUGCCAAGUUACAAAUCAAUGCUGCUAUUAUGGACAGAAUUAUGGUCACUUUUCCAAAUGAAUCAUUUGCCUUGGCCUAUCUGUUUUAUGAGAAGAUUGGAAGGAUUUGCUAUUUUUGUGGAAUUAUGUUCCACAAUGUUCAGGGAUGCACUCUUAGGAAUCAGAUUACCUUGGAAAGGCACAAAAGGGGAGUUUCUGCUAGGGAUGUUCCAUCAUAGAGAGUUGGAGAGUGGAUUACUGAUCCGGAGCUUAUCCCGCAAUUUGAUUCUACACAUGGAAGCUCUUUAAAUCAUGGGUUAAAUAUAUUUCAGAAUCCACAACUCAUAAGAUUUUAG
rnacentral:rRNA from 1 species